UACGUAGGGUGCGAGCGUUGCCCGGAUUUAUUGGGCGUAAAGGGCGCGUAGGCGGCCUGGCGCGUCGGCUGUGAAAUCUCCCGGCUCAACUGGGAGGGGACGGCCGAUACGGCUGGGCUUGAGCGAGGUAGGGGAGAGUGGAAUUCCCGGUGUAGUGGUGGAAUGCGUAGAUAUCGGGAGGAACACCAGUGGCGAAGGCGGCUCUCUGGACCUCUGCUGACGCUGAGGCGCGAAAGCGUGGGGAGCGAUCCGGAUUAGAUACCCGGGUAGUCCACGCCGUAAACGAUGUCGACUAGGUGUCGGGGGUAUCGACCCCCUCGGCGCCGGCGCUAACGCAUUAAGUCGACCGCCUGGGGACUACGGCCGCAAGGCUAAA
rnacentral:rRNA from 1 species